CACCUUUUAGUUUAAAUUUAAAAUAAGGCCUUUGGGGGGCCCUGAUACUUAGGUAAAGGUGA
rnacentral:tRNA from 1 species